UGUGGUGACAGACAUUGGCUUUGGUCACAGC
rnacentral:piRNA from 1 species